UACAGGGGGGCAAGCGUUGUUCGGAAUUACUGGGCGUAAAGGGCUCGUAGGCGGCCAACUAAGUCAGACGUGAAAUCCCUCGGCUUAACCGGGGAACUGCGUCUGAUACUGGAUGGCUAGAGGUUGGGAGAGGGAUGCGGAAUUCCAGGUGUAGCGGUGAAAUGCGUAGAUAUCUGGAGGAACACCGGUGGCGAAGGCGGCAUCCUGGACCAAUUCUGACGCUGAGGAGCGAAAGCCAGGGGAGC
rnacentral:rRNA from 1 species